AUGUGACCAAGUUACAUUCUGUUCCUUUUGGAGACAUCACACGACCAAUGGACUCCACCUUUUUUUUCAUCUGUAACCCAUAAAUUUUCUCCAUUGGCCAGACAAUCCUGGGUGAACUGAAGGUUUAAAAAUGGUUGAAGAAUUAACCAGAUUUCUACCUCUUGGCAAUGACUGAUUAUUCCAGUAGAUUUAUUUUUGGGGUCAUAAUGGAAAACAGAGUAUAUACGAUACAAACAGCAUAGAGACGCUCUGAGCUGAAGAAGGUACAAUUUAGAAGUCCAAGCAUUAACUAAAAUAAAGAUAUCCAGGGAAAUGGUGGUUAUAAUGGCAGCCAGCCAUUGCCUCCAUCCCCAACUAUCCAGUAAGAUUCCAGCAUAAGGCAACGGGAUUCCCGUGUCUAUAUGCAUACCGAAGUAAGAUUUGGAAGAAACUUGCUAUUUUUUAAGGCUUGCACAGUAGUAAUGAAAGAAACUGAGUGAAACUGUGCAUACAACUUGGAAGUUUGGUCAGCCUAAAUAGCUAUGCUGUUUAGUGAUCUGAGUAUAACAGCGUAUGUGGUGAUCUUCGGUGUUUUUUAAGGUUUAAACAGAAAUCUCCUUGAAAUGAUGAACUGAGAUAAAAUUGUGUCAAAGCAGUUCUACAGUCAGUAUUUUAACGGAGUUGAUUAUAUCAGCACCAUGCUCUAGUGAAACUCGUAAUACCCUCUUAAAUAUUUUAUGUUCUUCUGUUGUUCAAAAGCAUGGCAAAAAUUGCUACACCAUAAUAUUCAGUUACUUCCCGUUGAGUGUAAAAAAUCCUCACCCAUCAGGUUGGCCCUGUUUUCGUGCCUGGCAGUAGAUGAUUUUCACCAGAACACGUUAGUUAAAUGCUUUCAGUUGAUGCAUUUAAACCUUCAGUAAAAGCCUGGGCUCUCUGCUGAAAGCACAAACAGUAUCUUACGAGAGUGAGCUCAGUGCCAUCUCAUUAAUCAGUGUUUGCAUUACUGGCUUUUGUUCAAGAGCUUGUACACAGUGUCUCUCCUCAUUUUUGCUACGCGAGGCAAAAAUAAGAAGUUUCAAC
rnacentral:lncRNA from 7 species